rnacentral:lncRNA from 1 species
AGUAAUGAAGAUUCUUAGAUUCUUUUAAUGGAGAUUGCAACUAUUGAUCUUGUUCGAUAUGCAGGAUUGAAUCGGAUUGAAUAAAAUAAGAAGAUAAUGCAGAAAAUGAUGGAGGUUUUUUAAGUUAGAGGCGUCGAGAGGUAUGAUUGUUGAGGAGAUCCAGGAUGUUGUGGGAGAAACAUGACAGUGUUAAGAAUUCGGAUUCUGGGGGGUUGCAAGAGAUUGUGAGAGAAACAGGACAAAGCCAUAAAUUAAGAUUCUAGUGGUUGCAAGAGUUUGUCGGGUUUGCUGGCCACCUGAUACUGGCGAUGUGACGGUGCCAGGCCUACUUCUCAGCGGGCUAUCAAUUCUAGAACUACUCUAAUCCUAACAGGUUUAACCCUCUUAAGCUCUUAGGCCUAAACAUUGUCUAAAAUGUUAUAACUGGGUGUCACAGGCGAUGGCGGCG